GCUAGGGGAAGAGGGAUUUUCUGAUGCUUGGGGGUCUGAGACUGUCAGUUUAAAAAAUGGAAGUAAUAUAGAAGGGGCAAAGUGGCAUUUAUCAUGCUAUCUCUCCAGGCUCCUGUCUCUUUAAUCAGCUAGCCUGAUUUGCCCAGUAAAUGAUUCCUGAGUGUGUGUGUGCGUGUGUGUGCCCGUGCGCGUGUGUUGCAGCUCUGUCAAUCCUUGGAUUAGAACCAAUGAUUGCAGCUUGUAGGAGGGCUGUCCAGGGCCAGAUUGUACAACGUGUCUCAGUGCCAGAGUAUGAGUGGAGAUAAUUACGGGGAAGUCACACUCUCUCACACCCGCAGCUUCCUUGUGUCCUUCAGCAAAACAGUGGAUUUAAACCUCCUUGUACGAGCUUGAGAGCUGCACAAUCUAUCAGGAAAAAAAAAAAAAAAAAAAAAAAGGGAAAAAACUGAACCUGACAAAAAAGAAGAAAAAGAAGAAGAAAAAAAAUCAUGAAAACCAUUCAGGCAAAAAUGCACAAUUCUAUCUCUUGGGCAAUCUUCACGGGGCUGGCUGCUCUGUGUCUCUUCCAAGUUGCAGAUGCAGUAGAGACUGUUGGCUGUGUCCAACUCCAUCAUCAAAGUCUUGGCAGAAAGCAUCUUGCUUUUGUGGAUUACAGUGCUCUGAGCUGGGAGUCAUACUAAGAUUCUUUCU
rnacentral:lncRNA from 1 species